CUAGUGACUGUGGGGUACUUUGUGUUUUGUCUACAAGUACAAAUUCAGACUGACAUAUGGGGAGUUUUCUUUUUCUUCCCCCUCGUCCUUAGCGUGUUUGGAGGGAAGGGGGUUGAAGAGGAGUGUGUGUGUGUGUGUGUGUGUGUGUGUGUGAGAGAGAGAGAGAGAGAGAGAGAGAGGAGGGGUGGAUUUCAGAGGCUAUGCAGCAUUUGCGAUGCAGCGUAGGGUUGUUGAUGCGAGCCAUGUUGAGGAUGAUGGAGCUGAGAGGCUUAACUAAUUUUGGAAAGAGAGAGCAGGAGGAGGAGAGCGGAGGGGGGAUUUGGGGCCUUUUGUUACAGCCUGUUUGAUCUGGGAAUUUGAAAAAAAAAAAAUGGCCCAGAGAUGUCGUGAAAAUGAGAGAAUUACUGCUUGGGUCCCUCACUCUUCUUUUUUAUCAAACUGAAGUAGCACAGGAAUUCUAAUGCACUCUAAAGUCAAAGCAGCAGAUAUUUUUCUCCCCCCCUCUUGCUUACAGAUAAUAACUGGAUCUAGCUAAACCCUGAUUGUUAAUUGCUAAUUACUCCUCGUACAUGAGAAGCCAGGAGAGCGUAGCUAAGCUGAUCAAAUGAAUCUUCGCUCUGGAGCUUGUAGGUUUUCCCGUUUUGUCUCGUCUUGGUGUUGUAGAGGCGUACUGGAUGGGCUUGUUUUCGAUGGCUUUUGACAAGAUAAAGACAGAUUUUUGUCAAAGAGGGGAACGAGCGAAGAGGGGGGGGGGGCUCCCUCCACAUUUUCCCUUGGGUGUGAUCAUAGACACUUGAUUUAAACCUUUCAUGGGUUAACCAAAGCACAUCCCGCAGGUGUUUUUUCUCUGGAAUACAGCUUCUCAGUUCCCCUGCAUUAAGAAGAGGAUUCAAGGCUUUAAUGGAGGUUUUAAAGAUUCCUCCCUCUCCCUCAUUUCCCUCCAUCCCUGCCUCCCACCACCAGCUACCUGAGGAGCUGUCAUUCUGGAUUGCCGCGCUGUCGGUUCAUCCUGUCAGGCUGAGGGACGCGUUCUGAUCAGCCGUGGACACUGAUAGACCUGUCAGCCUCCAUCGAGUCGGAAGGAAUGGACGCACCGGAGGAGUCGACCCCAGGAAGAAGAUCAACCACCACCCCCGCCUUGUUCCUUCCCAUUCCUUCCUGCAAUUCCACAUUCAUUUUUAAUCAAUUAUUGCUUUCCCAUAAGACAUU